CCUACGGGGGGCAGCAGUGGGGAAUAUUGGACAAUGGGCGAAAGCCUGAUCCAGCCAUGCCGCGUGUGUGAAGAAGGCCUUCGGGUUGUAAAGCACUUUCAGUGGGGAAGAAAGCUUUGGGGCUAAUACCCUCGAGGAAGGACAUCACCCACAGAAGAAGCACCGGCUAACUCCGUGCCAGCAGCCGCGGUAAUACGGAGGGUGCGAGCGUUAAUCGGAAUUACUGGGCGUAAAGCGCGCGUAGGCGGUCUGAUAAGCCGGUUGUGAAAGCCCCGGGCUCAACCUGGGAACGGCAUCCGGAACUGUCAGGCUAGAGUGCAGGAGAGGAAGGUAGAAUUCCCGGUGUAGCGGUGAAAUGCGUAGAGAUCGGGAGGAAUACCAGUGGCGAAGGCGGCCUUCUGGACUGACACUGACGCUGAGGUGCGAAAGCGUGGGUAGCAAACAGGAUUAGAUACCCCUGUAGUC
rnacentral:rRNA from 1 species